UGGCAUGUUGUUGCAUUGUCACACAGAUCCAUUUCCUCCCGUUGAGUUUGAGAAGACAGAGACAAGUCAUAAACUUUUGUAUCUUAACUAAGAUAAGCGACCUAGCGACGGAUGAUGGAUGAAUAUUUGGAUUCGUCCUCUGGCAGUGGCCAUCGGAGUAGUGGGAAUUCUUCAAAGCAAGCAGCUGAUGUUGGGCAGGACUGUGACAUAUACUACAGCCCCGUCACAGUUCCAGCUCUUUACUUGACGAUCUUCCCCA